rnacentral:misc_RNA from 1 species
AAUUAAAAUAUUUUUAUUGCCGGUAUAUACAAUACAAAUUGUCAACGAGAGCUGCCUAUAGGUUAGAGUACUGGCUCACUAUAUCUGUAUUUUAUUUCCCAAAAAGUCAAAGUAAAAUGGCGCCCGACGAUCAAAUAUCUGAUCAAGAAAAGGUUCGAAUUGCUUCGGAUUUCAUACGCCAUGCCCCUCCUGGAGAAUUCAAUGAAGUGUUUACAGAUGUGCGUGUCCUCUUGAAUAAUGACACUCUCCUCAAAGAAGGAGUUGCAGGUGCCUUUGCCUUGUAUAAUAAAGAUCAGCUCACUCCUGUCAAACUUCCAAACUCUAGUAUUCCUUCUCUGGUUACUGAGCACAAUGAUAUAGGGGGUGGAAGGUUUUUUGAUCCUCGUUCAAAACAGUCUUUUAAGUAUGACCAUUUGAGAAAGGAGGCUUCUGAUCUUCAGGCAUGGGAAUCUGAUUCUGCUGUUGAGUCAUGGAGGGAUGCAUUAGAAUCCCAAUUUACUGAGUACACAGCCAACCAUUACAAGCAUGGUGUCUGUGCUGUUUUUGGUCAAAGUAGAAAUGACAGUAUAUCGCUUGUAGCAUGCAUUGAGGAUCAUCAGUUUCAACCCAAAAACUAUUGGAACGGCCGUUGGAGGUCUCAGUGGUGUGCAACUUUAACUGGUGGCACUGGAGAGCUUCAAGGAACUUUAAGGGUUCAGGUCCACUAUUAUGAGGAUGGUAAUGUCCAGCUUGUGUGUUCAAAGAAUGUUAAACACUCACUCACAUGCUCAAGUGAGGUUGAAACUGCAAAGGAAAUGGUUCGGUUGAUUGAAGAAUCCGAAUCUGAAUAUCAACUGGCGAUUAAUGAAAAUUAUCAAACAAUGUCCGACACUACCUUUAAAGCGUUGCGCCGUCAAUUACCAAUCACGCGAAGCAAAGUAGACUGGGAAAAGAUCAUUUCGUACAAAAUUGGAAAAGAAAUCAACAAGACCCAAUAACAAUAAGUUCAAUCAAUUCCGACCUACUGCCAACUGCUGGCCGAUUGGUUCAAUGUUGUUUACGUUCUCUUCGUGGUUUUGUUGUGUCGAGUGUUGGAUGAUUUGAUCAAGGUUGUUUUUAGAUUAGCGUAAAAUUAUCCUGAUCAAGUUAUUUCGCGUCAUCGGUACGCUGCCUUUGUGCGCGCAUUGCUGAUGCGAUGCGCCCUUUAUUAUUAUCAAAUUAAUAUUAAAUCGUCGUCCAUUGAAAAUUUUGCAUCCGAUUUAAUUUCUUUUAUUAUCAGUGGAUUGAUUGGCUUUGGUUACUAGGUAAAAGUAAUCAAAUCAGUAUGACUGAUAUCUAGGUGUUUUGGUUUUCACUACUGAAUUUGUUCCUCAUCUUUUGCUCCUUUUCGUAUCUUUAUAUCCUGUAUGAAUGCCUAUUGCCUAUAAAGAAAGAUGUAGUGAUUCCAUAAGCCUCAUUUUGUGUUAUGGGCCGUUGGACUUACAAAGUGGAAAUACAGCCGUGUUGGAUUUGUUGAAAAUA